CAGCAGUACAUAGGAUAUCUUAUGUUAAGACAUCACACACAACAUCUUGUGAACACUCUUUGUUUUACCAAAAUUGCUGCCAACACUUAGAACCAACAAAUUUGAAUGUGAAACGUGAUAAUUUUCUUUAAUUGAUAAAAAAAGGGAAAUUUGAUGGAGGCCCUACAAAUUAUUCCCCCAUGCCUUGGGCACGACAUGGGUUCUUA
rnacentral:lncRNA from 1 species